UAGGGAAUCUUCGGCAAUGGACGAAAGUCUGACCGAGCAACGCCGCGUGAGUGAAGAAGGUUUUCGGAUCGUAAAACUCUGUUGUUAGAGAAGAACAAGGACGUUAGUAACUGAACGUCCCCUGACGGUAUCUAACCAGAAAGCCACGGCUAACUACGUGCCAGCAGCCGCGGUAAUACGUAGGUGGCAAGCGUUGUCCGGAUUUAUUGGGCGUAAAGCGAGCGCAGGCGGUUUCUUAAGUCUGAUGUGAAAGCCCCCGGCUCAACCGGGGAGGGUCAUUGGAAACUGGGAGACUUGAGUGCAGAAGAGGAGAGUGGAAUUCCAUGUGUAGCGGUGAAAUGCGUAGAUAUAUGGAGGAACACCAGUGGCGAAGGCGGCUCUCUGGUCUGUAACUGACGCGGAGGCUCGAAAGCGUGGGGAGCAAACAGGA
rnacentral:rRNA from 1 species